rnacentral:rRNA from 1 species
CCUACGGGGGGCAGCAGUAGGGGAUAUUGCACAAUGGGGGAAACCCUGAUGCAGCGACGCCGCGUGAGUGAAGAAGUAUUUCGGUUUGUAAAGCUCUAUCAGCAGGGAAGAACAUGACAGUACCUGACCAGGACGCCCCGGCUAACUACGUGCCAGCAGCCGCGGUGCUACGUAGGGGGCAAGCGUUAUCCCGAUGUACUGGGUGGAAAGGGAGCGUGGACGGGUAUGUAGGGCCGGAGGGAAAGCCCGGGGCCCAACCCCGGGACUGCUUUGGAAACUGUGUAACUGGAGUACAGGAGGGGAAGGUGGAAUUCCUGGUGUAGCGGUGAAAUGCGUAGAUAUCAGGAGGAACACCGGCGGCGAAGGCGGCCUGCUGGACUGAAACUGACGUUGAGGCUCGAAAGCGUGGGGAGCAAACAGGAUUAGAUACCCGGGUAGUC